rnacentral:snoRNA from 1 species
UGGAAAAUCUCUCGGCCAGGCCUGCCGUCGCCUCCUGCGUUCUUGCCAGGGCAAUUCAGAACAGUUUGAGGCUUUGCCCCACUCCAUCCAGAGCGAGGCUAUAGAACUUUCAGACAAUC